rnacentral:tRNA from 1 species
AGCCCCGUGGUGUAAUGGUAGCACAAGUGAUUCUGGUUCAUUUAGCUGAGGUUCGAAUCCUUGCGGGGCUGCCA